GGCGUCGAGCAGAGCAGCGGACUCAUAAUCCGUCGGCCGUGGGUUCGAGUCCCACCCGCCCCA
rnacentral:tRNA from 1 species